ACCAGGCAUGGUGGUGCACAUCUGUAAUCUCAACUGUGAGAGAGGACGAAGCUGGUGAAUCUCUUUGCUUGGAAGUUCUGAGCUACAGUGAGCCAAGCUGAUCUGAUAUCUGCACUAAGUUCAGUAUUAAUAUGAACACUUCCUGGGAGUGGCAGGCUACCAGUUGUCCUAAGAGGUAAAAUGGUCCAGGUUAGAAAUGGAACAGGUCAAAUCUCCCAUGUUGAUCAGAAUGGGAUGGGGCCUGUGAUUAGCUCCUGAACUUCCAGCCUAUGGAUAGAAUGCCAUGUCU
rnacentral:SRP_RNA from 1 species